rnacentral:rRNA from 1 species
CCCCCCCCCCAGGGGCGGCGAGCCGCCCGAACCUAUUAAAAAAGCACAUGAGAGCCCGUCUGAGCAAACAAACAAAUAAUUAAAACUUUCAACAAUGGAUCUCUUGGCUCUGGCAUCGAUGAAGAACGCAGCGAAAUGCGAUACGUAAUGUGAAUUGCAGAAUUCAGCGAACCAUCGAAUCUUUGAACGCACAUUGCGCCUGCCAGCACCCUGGCAGGCAUGCCUGUCCGAGCGUCAUUUCCCCCCUCAGCGCGCACCGCGCUGGUGUUGGGGCACCUCCGCCUGGCGGAGGGCCCCCAAAACCAGUGGCGGGCCCGGCUGGUCGGCUCCGAGCGCAGUACUGAACGCACCGUUCUCCCCUCGCUCAGCAGCCCCCGCCGGCGCCCUGCCAGCCCGGCGCGCGCCCCCGCGGCGCGCCCACCCCCUUCUUGCAAGGUU